AAGGCUAAAUACUCCUGACUGACCGAUAGUGAACCAGUACCGUGAGGGAAAGGCGAAAAGAACCCCGGCGAGGGGAGUGAAAAAGAACCUGAAACCGUGUACGUACAAGCAGUGGGAGCCCCACCACCAAAGCAUUCUCUGGUGUUGAAGGCCCUGCAAAGCAGCAUCGCGGUGGCGGAGCGUCGUUUGCGACGCCCAACACACAAAACAAGCGGUGAGUGCUUUGGGGUGGGGUGACUGCGUACCUUUUGUAUAAUGGGUCAGCGACUUAUAUUCUGUAGCAAGGUUAACCGUAUAGGGGAGCCGUAGGGAAACCGAGUCUUAACCGGGCGUUAAGUUGCAGGGUAUAGACCCGAAACCCGGUGAUCUAGCCAUGGGCAGGUUGAAGGUUGGGUAACACUAACUGGAGGACCGAACCGACUAAUGUUGAAAAA
rnacentral:rRNA from 1 species